rnacentral:sRNA from 1 species
AGUGAACUUCUUUUGUAGUGGAAAUCCUUUACUGUUUUUCUGUAAACGACAAAGAGUACAACUGAUAGCGGGACACGAG